rnacentral:snRNA from 1 species
AUACAUUUUCUAGCAGUACAGGAGUAGCUGAUUCUGGUGCGCAAGCCCAGGGUGCCCUUUCACCCAGGGCGAGGCUUAGCCAUUGCACUCCGGCUGUGCUGACCCCUGCGAAUUCCCCAAAUGUGGGAAUCUCGACUGCAUAAUUUCUGGUAGUGGGGGACUGCGUCCGCGCUCUCCCCUG